rnacentral:sRNA from 1 species
GUUGAAAAAAAUAAUAUAUGGAUACAUAUGAAAUGAUUAGAGUAUCCUCUAAAUUUACGUUACAGAAACGGAUAUGUAUAAGCAAAAAUUUUACAUGAAUACACUUUUUUGUAGAAAUAGUUAAACUUGAAUCGAUUUUACAUGUU